rnacentral:rRNA from 1 species
CAAGUCGAACGAGAAAGGGAGCAAUCCUGAGUAAAGUGGCGUACUGGUGAGUAACACGUGGAUAUCUACCUCUUGGUGGGGAAUAACCUGGGGAAACCUGGGCUAAUACCGCAUAAGUUCGUGUGAAGAAAGGCGCAAGUCGCCGAGAGAGGAGUCCGCGGUCGAUUAGGUAGUUGGCGGGGUAAGAGCCCACCAAGCCAAAGAUCGAUAGCCGGCCUGAGAGGGCACACGGCCACACUGGCACUGAAACACGGGCCAGACUCCUACGGGAGGCAGCAGUGGGGAAUCUUGCACAAUGGGGGAAACCCUGAUGCAGCGACGCCGCGUGAGCGAUGAAGCCCUUCGGGGUGUAAAGCUCUUUCGGCAGGAACGAUAAUGACGGUACCUGCAGAAGAAGCUGCGGCUAACUACGUGCCAGCAGCCGCGGUAAUACGUAGGCAGCAAGCGUUGUUCGGAAUUACUGGGCGUAAAGAGUGUGUAGGUGGUGUCGUAAGUUUGGUGUGAAAUCUCCCGGCUUAACUGGGAGGGUGCGCCGAAGACUGCGAUGCUGGAGUAUGGGAGAGGAAAGCGGAAUUCCUGGUGUAGCGGUGAAAUGCGUAGAUAUCAGGAGGAACACCUGCGGUGUAGACGGCUUUCUGGACCAUUACUGACACUGAGACACGAAAGCGUGGGUAGCAAACAGGAUUAGAUACCCUGGUAGUCCACGCCCUAAACGAUGCAUACUUGGUGUGAGCCAUUCAGUUGGUUCGUGCCGGACUAACGCGUUAAGUAUGCCGCCUGGGGAGUACGGUCGCAAGGCUGAAACUCAAAAGGAAUUGACGGGGGCCCGCA